UGGGGAAUAUUGCACAAUGGGCGCAAGCCUGAUGCAGCCAUGCCGCGUGUAUGAAGAAGGCCUUCGGGUUGUAAAGUACUUUCAGCGGGGAGGAAGGGAGUAAAGUUAAUACCUUUGCUCAUUGACGUUACCCGCAGAAGAAGCACCGGCUAACUCCGUGCCAGCAGCCGCGGUAAUACGGAGGGUGCAAGCGUUAAUCGGAAUUACUGGGCGUAAAGCGCACGCAGGCGGUUUGUUAAGUCAGAUGUGAAAACCUCGGGCUCAACCUGGGAACUGCAUCUGAUACUGGCAAGCUUGAGUCUCGUAGAGGGGGGUAGAAUUCCAGGUGUAGCGGUGAAAUGCGUAGAGAUCUGGAGGAAUACCGGUGGCGAAGGCGGCCCCCUGGACGAAGACUGACGCUCAGGUGCGAAAGCGUGGGGAGCAAACAGG
rnacentral:rRNA from 1 species